UACGGAGGGGGCUAGCGUUGUUCGGAAUUACUGGGCGUAAAGCGCGCGUAGGCGGACCUGCAAGUCGGGGGUGAAAGCCCGAGGCUCAACCUCGGAACUGCCUUCGAUACUGCGGGUCUCGAGUCCGGGAGAGGUGAGUGGAAUUCCUAGUGUAGAGGUGAAAUUCGUAGAUAUUAGGAAGAACACCAGUGGCGAAGGCGGCUCACUGGCCCGGUACUGACGCUGAGGGCGCGAAAGCCAGGGGAGCAA
rnacentral:rRNA from 1 species